GUGUGUGUUUGUCGGGAGGUGUGGGGUGUAUGCGUGGGGGGGGGAGAGCUAGCAGUAGGAGGACUGUGGUGUACCUGGACUCUCUCUCUCCAGCUGGGGAAGAGAAGCGUUAACGGAAGGGGCGAGGUUAAAAGGGGUGAAGGGGCUGGUGCACAACUCCAUUUUCCCUUUCGCCGAAUUUCCACAGUCUCUUCUUUCUUUCGCUUUUAUUCAACAGAGUGAGUCAGUGAAAGAGAGCAAUAGAGAGAGAGAGAGAGAGAGAUAGAGAGAGUGAAAGAGAGAGAAUCAAGACAAUUUUUUUAAGAGUCGAUCUUGGCUUUCUUACAAACAGAUGUUGCCUGUCAUUUGGCCGUUAAGCAGGCACCCGGUUAGUAGAACACAGAGGUUUUACUGCCUGAAAAUAUUAGUUCUUUCUUAUUUGUCGUUUCAUUAUCAUGAUGAAAAUCGAACUCUUAUAAACACGGAAAUCUGUCUUUCUAUUUCAUUUUUUUUUUGUCUUUUAGUUCUCUCUGUCAGCUUUCCUUUCCUUCCUCUUCCUUCCUCUCUCUCUGCCUAUUUUUCUUUGUCUCACUCUUACUCUCUUUUCUAUUGCCUUUUUGAUGGGUUCGUUAGUUGCAUGUUUGUGUUUUGUUUCCUUGUGGGCCACAGUGGACCUUCUGCCAAGUGCUGUAGGCGCCCUGAGUAGAGAGAGAAAACAUUUGGAAACAAUAAAAAGACAAUCGGCUGCAACAAGGGACAAGGGCUGGUGCCUCCUCAUUACGAACCAGACCUGGACCCAGUCGGUAUCAGAUGUGGUGACCCCACUUGGUGACCCUGCCCGCCUGUGGGGAAAACAACCUGUGGUUACCAUGUUGGUUCACAGCAAAAACUUGACCUUUUUCAAAUGUAUUUUUCUUGCUGUCUGCUUGUUUUGGUAAAUUACAAAACUACAUUUAAGAAAAGUACAACAUGUCUAAAGAUUACUUUUCAACAUUGCCUGCUCCCGAGCGUUCUCACUAGUUAGAAAUACGUAAUAUUGUAUGUUGUAGGGGUUCCCUCAUGCCCCUUUUCAUGAUGGUGAUAGCAGCCAUGUGAGUGCUAGCUAGGUAGCGACCGGAACAUUAAGCUAGCCAAGACCAACAACACAAACAAAAGGACUAUACUAAACAAGUUAAAUGUCUUGCCUGUGAUGAAAUGUUUUCCACACACAUAGCUACGUAUAGUCUACUUGGACACCGCGUCCCCACAUUUCCCACUCUCCCACUCUGAAUACCCUGAAGCCUGAAGUGUGUGUAUGUGCUGUGUGCAAGUGUUAAACUUCAAGAACAUUGACAAGAGGCAGUAGGGAGCAUUAAUAAGCUGUAUGUUACAGUGACUUUUGUGUUGUUUAUAGUGCCAUUAAAACAAUUCUGAUGCA